rnacentral:rRNA from 1 species
GACUGCAGGCGGCCGCGAAUUCACUAGUGAUUAGAGUUUGAUCAUGGCUCAGGAUAAACGCUGGCGGCGUGCUUCAUGCAUGCAAGUCGCACGGUUUUUCUCGCAAGGGAGAGACAGUGGCAAACGGGUGAGUAACACGUAAGCAACCUGUCCUUAAGUGGGGGAUAACACUUCGAAAGAAGUGCUAAUACCGCGUGUGGCCCUUCUACAUAAGUGGAAGGUCUAAAGCCGUAAGGCGCUUGAGGAGGGGCUUGCGUCUGAUUAGCUAGUUGGUGGGGUAACGGCCUACCAAGGCGAUGAUCAGUAGCUGGUCUGAGAGGACGAACAGCCACACUGGGACUGAGACACGGCCCAGACUCCUACGGGAGGCAGCAGCAAGGAAUAUUGUGCAAUGGGCGAAAGCCUGACACAGCGACGCCGCGUGAGGGAUGAAGACUUUCGGGUUGUAAACCUCUUUUCUCAGGGAGGAAUAAUGACAGUACCUGAGGAA